CAAUAGCGUAUAUUAACUUUGUUGCAGUUAAAAAGCUCGUAGUUGAAUUUGUGGUUGUGUUGUGCGCGUUCCACAUUGUGGAUUUGUGUGCGGACAGCCUUUUGCGAAUGGAUGUCAUGUGGCAUUAGGUUGUCGCGUGAUGGAUGUUUGCCGUUUACUGUGAAAAAAUUAGAGUGUUCAAAGCAGGCUUAUGCCGUUGAAUAUAUUAGCAUGGAAUAAUGAGAUAGGACCAUGGUGCUAUUUUGUUGGUUUGCGCGCCUUGGUAAUGAUUAACAGGAACGGUUGGGGGUCUUCGUAUUCCAUUGUCAGAGGUGAAAUUCUUGGAUUUCUGGAAGACGAACUACUGCGAAAGCAUUGACCAAGGAUGUUUNCAUUA
rnacentral:rRNA from 1 species